UUCCCAAACGGUCAUAGUACAUAGCUUUGUCAUGGUAAAUAUCAACAUAAGUACUCUAAGUUGUUAGCGAUCAUCAAAUCUCUACCAGUUUAGCGCUUCCAAUUCCGUAUUGCAUAUUCUUGGUUAAGAUACCUAUAAGUUUGAAGGCAUGUUGGCGCCACACCAGUCCUGAAUUGUAUAUAAAUACACACCACAUAUGUCAAAUAAUGUGUAACAAUAAUAGCUCUAUCAACGAUUCAAUUUACAAAACAAUCUAAAUUGGCCACAAAAUAAUGCUCCUUGAAAAAUCAUGACAACAAAGCAAAGAAAGAACUUUCAAACAGUAGUUGAUACCUUACAAUUAAAUUGAUCAAAAUGGCCAAAAUAGACUCAAAACCUCCAAUAUUUACUUAUGUCAACAAUAUCAUUAGAUGAUUUUUACUUACAACUCUAAGGAUUGCAUAUGGUGUGUUGGAGUGGAGGAAUCUUCUGUUCAUUUGUUUGUGCAUUGCAGGAUGGCAGCUCGGGUGUGGGAUAAGAUUUUGAGCUGGUGUGGGAUUAGUUUUAUAACCCUGCAUAAUAUGUUUGCUCAGGUGGAGUGUUGUUUUGCGGCCCUGAGAGGAAAGAAGGUUUGUAGGGGAUUUUCGCUCAUUUGGCACGCGGCCAUUUGGGUGUUGUAGAGAGUUAGGAACGAUAGGUUGUUUAAUAAUGUAAUAAAGGAGGUGGAAGAUGUAGUGGAUGAAAUUAAAGUGUUCUCUUGGAAUUGGGUCCUGUACCGAACUAAGGCGUUUUCGAGUAUGUAUUUUGAGUGGUGUUGGGUUCCCGGGAAGUUCCUUAGCCGUUAGGGAAGUGGCAGGUUGUGUUUUUUACUCUGUUUGUGGAUGUUUUGGUGUUUUUCUGUCAUUAGCAUUUUCUGUUUAGGUGCUGUCAGCAUGCUGCUCCGGUUUUCUGUUAGUAGCUUGCCGGUUUAGGUGCUGCCAGCAUGUUGUUGCUGUGUAUUUUUCUGCUUUGUUCAGUUUGGGCUUGGGUUGUUAAUCUGGCUGCUGAUUUUUCUGGUGUAUGUUGCUGUGCUGCGCCUAGGUUGCACUUCUUGUGCCUAGAGCUGAAUAUAUUUGCUGUUAAAAAAAAAUUACUUAGAACUCAAACUAAACGGAUAUAGUUGCAAUCAACAUACAUUUGUAGUGCGCGGCAGAAUAUGAGAUCCGUGAUUUUACAAAGACUAUAAUUGAUAGAUUAAUAAAUUGUCUCCUUGCUGUUCAAUUUCAAGGCCAUGUACUAUGUCUUAAAUUUGCUUCCUUGACACGCACAUGCAACGCUCCAAUACAACAGACAACACCUGCACAACCGAUUCAUUCUACAAAUUUUAAAACAAUUGACAGCUGGGACUUUUCAAACCAAACCAUAGAAUAAAAUUACAUCCACCUCUGCGUACCUUUCUCUAGCUGCCUUCACCUGUUUAAAAAACUCAGUUCCUUGAUUUUCCAUAUACACCAGAAAAAUAGGAACACAAAAAAAAGAUGCAUCCAUAAAGAUGCAUAUCGGCUGCACCAUCAUUAGCCUUUGAAUUGCUUAAGUUACAAUGUCACUGGAUCAUCACUGGUUAAAAGAAAAAUUGCUUAUAUUUAGGAAAUCCCCAAUAUGAAAAUCCCAAACUUGACAAACAAACCAAACCCCAUAAAUUAUUUAUACUUAGCAAAAUUGAAAAUGAAAGUGUACGAAACAUAGCAAGCUACCACUGAAAUAAACCUCAUUAUCAAGAGAUCUAUCGAUAUGGGUUUUACGGCAAACUCCAUUUCUGGAAAAUAAGAAAUUCAUGCAAAUGAAGAUAUGAUUUCAUUCUUUUUUCAGUUUUAUGAAUUAAAUAACAAAUUAGGGAAUAUAGAUUUGAAAUGAAGAUACAAAUUAGGCUUAAAUGCUGGUCCCUUGGGCUAUUUAAUUGACAUCGCUUUUGUCCCUUAACUAAAAAAAAAGAUUGUUUGAGGAUUUUAAUUUUUUUUUAGUCUCGUUUUGGUCCCUUCUGUUAGGUUUUCGUUACUUUUAAUAAAAAUCGUUAAGUGUGGACACGUGUCACCUUGUCAUUGGUUCUGAGAUUUUUUUUUUUUUUAUUUUUUUAUUUUUUUUAAUAUAUAUAUUUAAUUUUUUUUGUAAAAAAUUCCCAGAACCAAUGACAAGGUGACACGUGUUAACUCUGGGACACGUGUCACUUUGUCAUUGGCUUUGGGAUUUUUUUAAAAAAAUAAUAUAUAUUUAAAAAAAAAAAAUUUGUAAAAAAAAAAAUGUAGAGCCAAUGACAAGGUGACACGUGUCCAGGAGUUAACUUUUUUUUAAAACCCUAACGGAAACCUAAUAGAAGGGACCAAAAUGAGACUAAAAAAAACUUAAAAUCCUCAAACAAUCUUUUUUUUAGUUAAGGGACCAAAGCGAUACCAAUUAAAUAUUUAAGGGACCAAAAGAGCAUUUAAGCCUGCAAAUUAAUAAUAUUAGAAGUUAUCUACAGAAGAACCAAGGAGGAAGAGGUUUUUGAAGGCAGAGUGAGUCCGGUCGGAGAUAACAACAACAUCUAUAAUUUCAACAACCACAAUAGAUUUCAGCGACCUUUGAUUAGGAGUAAUCUGAGAAAAAAAAAACAUCUUCGUUGAAGGUGCUACGACAGCGGUGAUUGUAACGUGAUCGUCGCAGCUGACGGCGUGGAAGAUGAGACGACGGAGGGAGGCAAUGGAGAGAGAGUU
rnacentral:lncRNA from 1 species